rnacentral:tRNA from 1 species
GCGUCGGUAGUUCAGUGGUAGAACGUUCGUCUGCCGGACGAGAGAUCCGGGUUCGAUCCCCGGUCGAUGCA